rnacentral:rRNA from 1 species
CUUGAAACACGGACCAAGGAGUUUAUCGUGUACGCAAGUCAUUGGGUGAAUAAAACCCAAAGGCGAAAUGAAAGUAAAGAGUUGAGUUUAUAAUAAAUAAGAAUUUUAUAAUUUUUUUUUAUUAUUUCUCUCUUAAGGGAAGAUGAAAAUUUAAUUAAUAAUAUAUUUAUAUAUUGUUAAUAUAAAUUUUUCGCACUCCCAGGGCGCUUGUUUCACGCUUUGCGUGUCAAUGCGCACCUAGAGCGUACACGCUGAUACCCGAAAGAUGGUGAACUAUGCCUGGCCAGGACGAAGCCAGGGGAAACCCUGGUGGAGGUCCGCAGCGAUUCUGACGUGCAAAUCGAUCGUCGGAGCUGGGUAUAGGGGCGAAAGACCAAUCGAACCAUCUAGUAGCUGGUUCCCUCUGAAGUUUCCCUCAGGAUA